rnacentral:misc_RNA from 1 species
UGGCUCUCGCAUCGAUGAAGAACGCAGCGAAAUGCGAUAAGUAAUGUGAAUUGCAGAAUUCAGUGAAUCAUCGAAUCUUUGAACGCAACUUGCGCCCUCUGGUAUUCCGGAGGGCAUGCCUGUUUGAGUGUCAUGCAGCUCAUUCAAUGAUGAAUAUUAUUGAAUGGAUUUGGGGGUUUGCCACGGUGUUGGCUCUCCUUAAAAGAAUAAUGUAGACGUAAUAAGUUUCGUCGUACGCAUUCUAAUACUGUAUUUGUACUCUGGCCUCAAAUCAGGUAGGGCUACCCGCUGA